UGUAGGUACAGUCACCAGACAGAGGGAGCCUGAGCUACCCCAGCCUUAAACAAAGUAAGCAUCACAGGCAUUUUCUUUUACAUUUCAAUUACAGUGUGGCAAUGGGGCUGAGCUCUAAAACUGGUGAAAAAACAGGCAGAAUUCAGGACUUUAAAUAUAACGCAAGAAAAGGGUGCUCAGAAAGAAACAUAGAACGUAAUCACAUAAUACACAGCUUUUAUAUCCCACACCCUUUAUAUUACGGUUGUAAUUAUGACAUUUAAAUCUUUUAGACAAGAGAAGAAAAGAAACACAACGUUUCGCCCGAGGAGCCUUCUACGGGUGUCACCUCGGGUGAUUAUGAGGAUUUAGAUUAAUACAAUUCAACUCCGAUAAUGUAUUUAGGUAGAAAUCUGAACAUUCACAAACUACGAAGGACACAAACCCGAACCCUUCCGCUCUCUGCACACAAUAUAUACAAAGUAUUUCUGACGUAAAACAACAUACACUGAUAAGACUUAUUAAAAACCGUCCAUACCACUAAAAAAAGGGGGGCAAAUGUUUCUCAAAAUAGGGUUUUGUUGAGAUUUUUUGGAGGGAAUAAUGCUAAACGGUUUGGCAGAAAACGGAAAACAUCGAUAGCAAAUUCCAGACGGAAGCAAUCGAUCUCUUUUCCCCCUCAAACGCUUCCGUCGAAAAGAAAAGAAAGCAAAACAGUCUUUCACAGAAAGGACUCGAAUGCCGGCGGCGCAUUCAUCUUGAAGUAAGUUGUCCCUGAGAAGGAGCCGGAGAAACGCGCCGCGGCGGAAUUAGGACAGAGCAAUGGCGGCCGCGGCAGGCCUGGGGUCCGGCCACCAGGGGGCAGCACACACCUGUCUGCUGACGAGCUCCCUAAACUACUACGACUACUAAACACAGCGUUGUAUGAUCAUAAAUAAACAAUAAUAAAUAAGAA